UCGACGUUACUAGUAAGCACAUUUACAGUAUAUCUGAACUUGUACAAAUAGCUUUUUCAUUAAACCAAUAACAUCACAAGCCCAUGGAGAAAAAUUAGUAGAAAAAGUCUUGAAAUCAAAAUUAGUUAUAUCGACUUGAUCAAAUAAAAAGUUGACCUAAUUAGAGUAAUUAAAAACUUUGGGGUACAUAUUAAAAUUUCGAUUAUGAGAGUUUCCAAUGCUGAUUGGGAAUCAUUUUUGGUAGGAAAAUUGUAAGAGCAAUCAUGAAAUACCAAUCUUCUGCCUCCAGUAAUUCAGUAUCACUAGGUUUUGCUCCCAAAGUGAUUUGACCAUGACUAUAAAAUAUUUUGUGUAAUGAACCAUGCAUGUAUCAGUAAGAUAAACAGAUCUAUAUAUCCAUUUUGCUAACAGUAAGAGCAGCCAAGCCAGCUCUCCCACUCCAAAUUUGCAGACAAACCAACACCUUGCUGUCUAGAGUGUCUCUCAUCCAAGUGCCCAGGGUGAUGCGGUGAUGAACUCUAUUUCCUGCACACAUCCCAUCCCAGAAACAAUUAGC
rnacentral:lncRNA from 1 species